UGGGGAAUAUUGGACAAUGGGCGCAAGCCUGAUCCAGCCAUGCCGCGUGAGUGAUGAAGGCCUUAGGGUUGUAAAGCUCUUUCACCGAUGAAGAUAAUGACGGUAGUCGGAGAAGAAGCCCCGGCUAACUUCGUGCCAGCAGCCGCGGUAAUACGAAGGGGGCUAGCGUUGUUCGGAUUUACUGGGCGUAAAGCGCACGUAGGCGGUUUGUUAAGUCAGGGGUGAAAUCCCGGAGCUCAACUCCGGAACUGCCUUUGAUACUGGCAAGCUAGAGUCCGGAAGAGGUAAGUGGAACUCCUAGUGUAGAGGUGGAAUUCGUAGAUAUUAGGAAGAACACCAGUGGCGAAGGCGGCUUACUGGUCCGGAACUGACGCUGAGGUGCGAAAGCGUGGGGAGCAAACA
rnacentral:rRNA from 1 species